AUUGAACGCUGGCGGCAGGCCUAACACAUGCAAGUCGAACGAGUGGCGGACGGGUGAGUAAUGUCUGGGAACCUGCCUGAUGGAGGGGGAUAACUACUGGAAACGGUAGCUAAUCCCGCAUACCAUCAGAUGUGCCCAGAUGGGAUUAGCUAGUUGGUGGGGUAACGGCGCACCAUGGCGACGAUCCCUAGCUGGUCUGAGAGGAUGACCAGCCACACGGGAACUGAGACACGGGCAAGCCGCCUAAGGGAGGCAGCAGUGGGGAAUAUUGCACGAUGGGCGCAAGCCUGAUGCAGCCAUGCCGCGGGUAUGAAGAGGGCCUUCGGGUUGUAAAGUACUUUCAGCGGGGAGGCGUUACCCGCAGAAGAAGCACCGGCUAACUCCGUGCCAGCAGCCGCGGUAAUAC
rnacentral:rRNA from 1 species